AAGUUUCCCAAAUCAAAUUUCGCUUAACCCUGGAAUGGUGAACCAUAUUUUCGCUGCACCACCCACCGCAACACCGCUUCUCCACCUCUUCGCGUUCACCCUAAAUCAAAUUUUCACCUCUUCUCCACCGCAACACCGCUUUUCACACGUCUGUUCUCCUCUUCUCCACCCAAACUGACACAUUCACGUUUCCCUUCGUGGUCACAGAGACAACGACCUCAACCUCCGCUGUCUCAAAUGAUGUCGUUUUCAAAUAUCCGAUCGAUCUUCCUCGUCCUUUGUCUUCGAAUCAGUCAUCUAGUCUUGUUUUCGAUGUCUCACGACUUCAUGUUGCAUAUCAGAUUUUGAAUUUUGAACUUCGAGCAAAGGACAUGCUGCAACAUAUCUGCAUAGGUCCAAUUUCCAAUGCAUCAUUUGUUCGAGUGAGCAUAUCAGUUAAGGUAUGAGGUGCUGGUUUACAAAGGUGGAAAUCCUUUUCUAAUGAUUGACUUUUCUUUAAUUGUCACGUUUUCUGCUAUGUUUUGACAUUAAUCUUGUGCUUAUUAUGAUUUUUUAUGGAACACUGAAGUUAGUUGAUGUAGUAUUGUUUUGUAAGUUAUUUGGAAUGUUCAUUCAAUUUGUAGUUUUUUACAAUAUUGGUGUUCUUUUUCUCUUUUUUCUCUUUGCACAUAAUUAUCUUUUGGUGAAUAAUUCUCUUCUUCAAUUAUCUUUUUAUGUGCAAAGAAAGACACCAAAACAUAAUUGAAGAAGCUCCUGCUGUAGGACUUACAUUCCACAACCUAAAUAUUAGUUUUUUUUUUUUUUUUUUAAAGUUUUAAUUACUAUAGUUGUGAACUUGUAAUUACACAUUUGCAGCCAGACAUUUAUGCUGAAUUCUGUGCACACUUGGUUCAAGUUACUUUCUUCACUGAAUACAUGAUGUUUUUCAAUUAAAUUUUCAAUGCAUUUUUAAAAUAUUUGUUCUUUCAACAGUUAAAAAAGGACAUCGAGGAUUGGAAUUAGUUCUUGAUUUGGUUUGUGUUGCAUUGGGGAACAAAUUCACUCUGAUUUGUAUGAUUUGGCAUGCCUUAUGCCUCUGUUAAGAUUUCCUACUCUGUAGUUUUUACACUUGAUUGCUCAUCACUGACUAUAUAUAUUAUGGAUGUGCAGCAUUCAGAAGAGCAUGAAUGCUAGAAGUGAGGCAGAACCAUAUAUUUUGUUAGGAUCAAGGAGGAGGUGAGAGUAAGGCUAUGCCAUUGUUGUACUUUCCACAAGAUCAAGGUGGAGAUGAGGGUAAUUUAUAGUAUAUCUUUAAGUUGUUAUUCUGUUUUCGCAUCUUUGAUGAAGCUAUUUUUUUUUUUUUUUGUGAUGAUCCUACUAGUGUCUCACCAAUUAAGGAGUCAAACUUUUAAUAUUUUUGAUGAUCCAGAACUUAUAGAGAUGAAAAGAAAAGCAAAUACACAAGUUUGAAGGAAAUGGUUACACUUUUAAGGUAAAGCACUUUUGAAGUUCAAGCAAGGAAUUAUGAGUGACCCUUUUGAUGCUUUGUCAAAUUGGGUUGAUGAUGAAUUUGGUGUUGACCCUUGUAAUUGGUUUGGAGUUGAAUGUUCAUAAGGAAGAGUUGGGUUAUUGGUAAAAAAAGCUUUGUUAUUCACACUUUCUCUUUUUCUAUGUCAUCCAUGCUAGUCUUAUAUUGAGGCAUGUUCAGUUCUUCAAACUUUUUAAUAUAUAUACUCUUUAAAUUGAUUAUGAUUUUCAUAAUAAUUACUUGAGUCUCCUAAAUUGAUUAUGAUUUGUGAAAUUGUGAUUUGAAUUUUGUCUUGACCAUUUUGCAGGUUGUUGAUCUGGAGGAAGAAUAAUACAAUGGAGACAUUAAGAAAAGGAAAACAUGAGUGUCACUGUUAAAGUACAUGAGUGUCAUUGUUCAAGUCUCUUAAUUAUGACCAAAUAGGUUCUUUGAUUUUGUGCUUAUAAGUAAAAGUGAAUGAUACUUCCACAUUUGUGUAUUGUUAAGAACAUGUUAUAUGUAUAUCAUAUACAAUAUAUGAUUAUUGUUUGAGAUUCUUAACCAAUUUUGGGAUCAAUAUCAAUUGGUUGAUAAUGCUUGUAAUUGGAUUUGAGUAGCCAUACUUUGUAUGAUGCAUUGUUUGAAUG